rnacentral:rRNA from 1 species
AGGAUUAACGCUGGCGGCGUGCCUAACACAUGCAAGUCGAACGAGGUAGCAAUACCUAGUGGCAGACGGGUGAGUAACACGUGGUCAACCUACCCUCGAGUGGGGGAUAACUAGCCGAAAGGUUAGCUAAUACCGCAUAAAACGUGCCGGGGCAUCCCGGAACGUUAAAAGGAGCAAUCCUCUCGUUGACGGGACCGCGUCCGAUUAGCUAGUUGGUGGGGUAAUGGCCUACCAAGGCUCCGAUCGGUAGCUGGUUUGAGAGAGCGACCAGCCACACUGGGACUGAGAAACGGCCCAGACUCCUACGGGAGGCAGCAGUGAGGAAUUUCCGCAAUGGGCGAAAGCCUGACGGAGCGACGCCGCGUGUGGGAAGAAGGCCUUCGGGUCGUAAACCACUGUCGAAGGGGACUACAAUGAAGGUACCCUUGGAGGAAGCCCCGGCUAACUACGUGCCAGCAGCCGC